rnacentral:tRNA from 1 species
GCCCUUUUAGCUCAGUGGUAGAGCUUCGUAUUUGUAAUGCGGUGGUCGUCGGUUCAAGUCCGACAGAGGGCU